GGCAGCUGUUGCUCCUCAGUGUGGCGCUAGUUGGGGAGUUAGAGGGAAGAGUUCAGUUUGACUCCAGGACAGGGCUUGAAUAAUUCAGAACACUGUUUUUUUUUCUUUUGCCACAGAGUCUCACUCUGCUGCCCAGGCUGAAGUGCAAUGGCAUGAUCUCUACUCACUGCAACCUCUGCCUCCCAGGUUCAAGUGAUUCUCCUGUCUCAGCCUCCCAAGUAGCUGGGAUUACAGGCAUGCACCACCUGGAUAAUUUUUGUAUUUUUAGUAAAGACAGUGUUUCACCAUGUUGACCAGGCUUGUCCUGAACUCCUGACCUCAAGUGAUCCACCCACCUCAGCCUCCCAAAGUGCUGGGAUUACAGGCAUGAGCUACCACACCUGGCCCAGAACAUUAUUGAUGACACCCCUGAGGCUGGGGAGCCAUGACCCUGCCCCUUUAAGGACCCUGCUCCGAACUGAAACAGUAACACACAUCCAUGAGCUAGGACAGGGAAGAGAAUGACAAGGACUCUAAACCACCCAGCAGUGAAAUUUCCAAUGGAAAUAAGACCCACUGGGCCCCUCUGUGUUGGGGGUGGAGUGGGGGAGGGCAGCACUCCUGGAGACUCAGAUCGGUUUUCAGGUUGUUUGCCCCAGCACUAAGCCGAGAAGUGAGCAAGGAGGGUUUGAAGCUUCAAGUCCACACCCAAGGUCUGCUCAGUGGGAAAUCCUUCAUCCCUGAACCCACCAGCAAUUCCAGACCCAGGGGUGAAGGGAGGUGCAGGUGAGGGUUUGGCCAAGGCAUCCCCAGGGACAAGCACGGAUGACAGCAGAUGCUGCUGUCUCUUGGGGCCUGCACCUCGGCAGAGGCUGAUUCCAGCUUGCAGUUCUCCGCCACUUGCAGGUUGCCCUGGAGUUUGCAGUAUGCAUUUACAACUAAUCCAAGUCCACUUUGAAAUAAUUCUAUACUGCUUCAAGGUCAUGGAGGACAUUCAGGACUUGAGCACUUACCAAAUCACCUUUGAAGUGGAGCCCUGUGUGUGCUGAGACCACUAGGACCCUGGAACGGGUGCCCGUCACUCACAGAGCCUGUCAGCUUCAGAGGCUGGAAAUGGAAAUCCCAGGCCUACUUGUACACAGGAAUCUCCUGGAGCGAGGAUGUCCUCUUUUCUGAUACCCGCAGAACUGGCAUUUAAGGGGAUGCCUGUGCAGUAUAGCGAAGGAUAGAGCCUCAGAAAUAGCCCUUCUGGAUCAAUCACGUCUCUAGUUUCUAUAAAUGGAAGCUUAACAUCUGCUCUGCAUGUGUAUGCCAGAUCCACCUUGUUCUGGACAACCCUGUGACAUGCCUGAGUCACCCAGCCUUGGCCCUUCCCUGCUCACUGCCUCCUCUCCCUCCUUCGAGAGAAGUCAUCCUCCCAGGAAUGUGCUUUUCAAAUACAAACCAACCAAUCCAGAGUCCACACACCGUACUAACUGGGCUCUCAUGAUCCAGGCCACUGUCCUCCUGCCCUAAUCACCUCAGGGCCAGGUACCAGACAACCAAGGACAGCACCUGUGCCCCAGAGCCUGCGGAGAUUACCUACUCACCCUGCCUCGCCCAUUCCUUCCUGCAGAAAACACAACUCAGACUCUUGCCCACAGUUCCCCAGCCCCUCUUGUGACUGACCCUGGUGCCUCCCCAUGUGACCCCACCAUGGCAUCAUGGGGGCUCCCUCUCUUGGGACCUGUUGGCAUGAUAAGCUAUGUUUCCAAUAGCAGUCAUCUCCUCAUCUCGGCCUCAUCACACCUAAAGAAUAAUAAAACCCGUUGAAACACCUUCAACUCAACAGGACAGACUGGCCCAUUGGAAUCAUUUAGACUUGCAGACAUUUUGUUCAUGCUGUACAGCGUUUCUUCCAGGUACUCUGUUUCGCAGCAGAAAGAGCAGGGCUGAGAUUCACAGACCUGACUUCAGAUCCCCCUUCUAUCACUUACUAGCAUGUGGUCAUCUAUAAUUUACAUAGAUGUGGAAUAAUCCACAGUUUUGAGUAUUUUACUCUCUAGACCUGUGGAAAAUUACUGCUUCCUUUAGUCCUAAAUGUGGAAAAGAAAAUUUGUGUUUAUAUUGUGCCACAAUCUGGGGGGAGGGAGGGAGGGAGAAAAAUGUCAUAUCUGAAACACUCAAAUGAAAACCUUAUAUGUUACUACAUACAUAAAUAUUCAUAUUUAUAGAUAUGUAAAUGUUUAUUUAAAUGUCAGUGGCACCUUCAUUAUUGCGGAUAAGUAGCCCUGGGUGAACAGUCUGUAUUUAUCAACAUCGAGAUUGAAAUUAAGGCUAACCAUUGACCUCAGCCUGCAAUUGACGUAGUUGACGCACUCUUUCAGAGUCAGAUGAUAGUUCAUCAGUAAAAUGAGAAUAAUAAUAACUACUUCCUAAUAUGGUACAGGAUUAAUUGAGAUACAUUUUGUAAAGGACUCCAAAGGAUGUCUUACACAAAGGAGAAGCUUAAGGAGCUCAUCCCUCUAACUCAGUCACCUGAAGAUCUCAUGGGUAAAGUCAGAGACAUCCUCACCCUGAAGAGAGUAGUGCAGGCAAGUGUGGGAAUGCUGUGUGUGGCAGAGACGACCCUGACCCUGGUCUUCUAAAUCAUUUAGAAGAACCGUGUUCUUUCUGAUGAAGAUUCCCACCUGAAAAUGUUCAUAUCAAGGUGACUGAUGUUCUAGAGCAGCAUUGUCCAGCGAAACUUUCUUCAGUGAUGGGAAGGUCCUGUGCCUCUGCUGUCCAGGAUGGCAUCCACUCCCACCUUUACCUACUGAGCACUUGAAAUGUGGCGACUGCAACUGAGGAGCUGAAUUUUUUUAUUUAAUUUAAAUUUAAGUUUAAAUUUAGGGAACCACAUGUGGCUCAUAGCUACCACGUUGGCAUAGACCUAGAGCUCAUCUAAAAAGUGAAACAAGUGUGGAUCCUCCUAUAACUAAGAAAAAAGAAAACUUACCCUUUCAUCUUGAGGUAGGAGGUGGGACUCAAUUCUGGAAGCAGGGCUCAGACAUUGGACCAAAUUGAGGACUAGUUAAAAUAGGAACUAGGAAUGGGGUGGAGACACCUUUCCAUAAGACAUGCCCACCAGUGUGCCAUGUCAAUUUACCAUUGUUGUGGCAACACCUGGAAGUUACCACCCCUUUCCAUGGCAAUGACCUGAUGACCCAGAAGUUACCACCCCUUUUCUAGAAAUUUCUGCAUA
rnacentral:lncRNA from 1 species